rnacentral:rRNA from 1 species
GUAGGUGGCAAGCGUUGUCCGGAAUUAUUGGGCGUAAAGCGCGCGCAGGCGGUUCUUUAAGUCUGAUGUGAAAGCCCACGGCUCAACCGUGGAGGGUCAUUGGAAACUGGAGAACUUGAGUACAGAAGAGGAAAGCGGAAUUCCACGUGUAGCGGUGAAAUGCGUAGAGAUGUGGAGGAACACCAGUGGCGAAGGCGGCUUUCUGGUCUGUAACUGACGCUGAGGCGCGAAAGCGUGGGGAGCAAACAGGGAUUAGAUACCCUGGUAGUCCACGCCGUAAACGAUGAGUGCUAAGUGUUACGGGGGUUUCCGCCCCCUUAGUGCUGCAGCUAACGCAUUAAGCACUCCGCCUGGGGAUACGGCCGCAAGGCUG